rnacentral:lncRNA from 10 species
AUUGUAAGGCAUGAAGAAGGAAAAAAACCACUUGUUUUUAUAAGAAAAUCUGUUCCUUCUUCUAUAAUCCCAACUGUCCCAAGCUGAAUCACUAGGCAUUGGAUACACAGUGUGCUAUCGGAGGCUGAGUCAUCCCUGCUGCAAAUCGAAACUGUGGAUCUGAAAAGAAUUUUCUCAUCUAAACCAGAGCUUCAGUCUCCCAGGAUCGUGAAUGUCUGAGAAUAAGCAGAUGCAGCCCUUUUCACAGAAGGGCAAGGUCCGCAGCUCCUCGGCAUCAUGGCAUUAUUUAUUCAUCAUGAGAGCCGCGAGUGAACAUGUACCCUGCAGAAAAAUCAAAUCAGUGUUCGGUUUCUCGAGCAGCUGCGUUUGGCAGAGAAAAAGCAUUUGGAUCUAACUUUGGUAACUGGACAAUUAUAGGCGUUAUUAAAUUGGAGAUGCAAAUGAGUAACCAUGUUUUCUUCCGAGUUUGUUCUAUUUCACUUGUAGUGCUUAAAUUAAAACCAGCUCAGCAUUUGUAAAAGCUGAUUCCUGAAAGCUUAGAAAAGUUCUGUGCUUGUCUAUAUACCAGUAGUUUCACUAAAAACAUUUACAUAUUAGUUAACCCCAAAGGACCAAAUUUGCAUUUAUUCAUGUUUACAGGUUUCAAUGGUUUUAGCCCUGAAGUCAUUGUGUCCUUAGAUACCUAACACUGAAGAUUUGCUCACAGGUGGAGAUUCAGAUAGAAAAAAACACACAAGCUUAGAAAUGUUAAUAAGUAUCUCUAUGCAUUAUAAAAAUACCUACAGAUAAUUUAAAGCCUGAGUAAUUUGUUUAUAUAUUUCCCGAUUUGUGGAAUAGACUAAUAUUACAUCAUAGUCCGAGAACUUUUUAUAAAUUGCCUAGUUUUUAAUUUCAAUUCUUCCAUUUACAAACUCUGGGACCUUGAACAAAUUAUUUUACCUCAGUCUCCUCACUAUAAAAUGGAGACAAUAAUAGUGGUACCUCUUAAGUUGUUGAAAGCGUUAAACAAAUCAGUACAUGUUAAAUAAAUUAAUAUACAUGCUUAGGAUAAUGCCUGACAGUAAUUGCAAUUCUGUAGAUGUGUGUGCAUAUGUAUAGAUUGAAUGUAGUUUUAUCAAACAGUAAAUUGGCAUAUAAUAAUAAUCCCUCAUUAUCUGUCUACCUUUCCCUCCAUAUUUCAGUUCAAUAGAAUUAUUGUUUUAUUCACUUUGUAGUCCACAACGCUUAUCGAUUUGUGUUGCUGCAACAUGCUAGUGUACAUUUUAUAAUAAAUAUUGUGGCUUUUAGACUGUUCAAUGUCUAUCCUGAUUUGAUGUGUCCAAAAUUCAAAGCUUGCGAAUUUUUUGGCUAGUAUUUUAUCCACACAUCUUCAUUAUUGGAAGUCUACUACAAGACAUGAAAAACAAUCAAAAAUUACUUAAUGUAGGUGAAAUCAUAGCAAAGUAAAACUGCCAAGCCAGACAGCAGGAGAGCAGCCCCAGGCUUCCUGUCUUCUGCCAUGGACAUCCACCGUCACACACGCCACACAUGCCACACACACCGUCUUCACCAAAUUCAAAUAAUCAAUCCCCACUAAAUUCCUUGAAGUGAUUGGCUCUUUUAUUCAGGCUCUGUCCAUGGGGCAUAAAUCUCUCCUAUACAUUUUAAGUAUUUUUCAAUGUCUUUACUUUUAUAUAGUUUAUUUCUUGUCCACAACAACUAACCCCCCUACUUAAUUUUUUCCCAUUUGCAGCAUUUUUGGCCUCCUCUCUAAAUUUGUCAUAACUCCAUUUUACUUUCACUUUGAGAUUAAGCUUGAAGCAUAUUACUAUGUAAAAUCCC